rnacentral:rRNA from 1 species
CGCGUAGGAAUCUACCCAGUAGUGGGGGACAACUUGGGGAAACCCAAGCUAAUACCGCAUACGCCCUACGGGGGAAAGCGGGGGACCUUCGGGCCUCUUGCCUUUAGAUUAGCCCAAGUGAGAUUAGCUAGUAGGUGGGGUAAUGGCUCACCUAGGCGACGAUCUCUAGCUGGUUUGAGAGGAUGAUCAGCCACACUGGGACUGAGACACGGCCCAGACUCCUACGGGAGGCAGCAGUGGGGAAUAUUGCACAAUGGGGGAAACCCUGAUGCAGCCAUGCCGCGUGUGUGAAGAAGGCCU